rnacentral:lncRNA from 1 species
GGUCAAAUGGUGAAAAAUGCCAUAGUCGAUUGCAGGUUGAGUCUGUAAGUAUCACACAGUGCUUUCAUUUGCUUCUUUUCUAUAAGGCUUUCAUUGAGCAUGGGAACUGCAAGCACAUGACCUUGGUUGCCUUCUCUGUCUUUCUCUUUCUGUGUCCAUACCUAUAUGAAUAUCUUCAGUGUUGUUGGCUCAUCACCCUGAUAUCAAUCAUAUUAUCUUGCAUUCAAAAGAUCAAACAGUGAAGUAUGUCCAUUGUUUAAAUAUAAUUUAAGUGUUCCGUGUUCUUGUGGAAGUGUCUUGAAGGAUAAUUUUGGAUCUCCGUAGUCAAUAGUGAAUCUGAAGCCUUAGGGGGCACUCAAGAGAUUCCAGGAGUAAGAGAGUUGAUCCCCAUCAUGGUUCUUUCUUCUCAGAAUGUCUCUGGUAGAUUUACUUCUAAUUUAUAUAUUGAUAGAUAUAUUUUACUUUUUGUACAUGAAUAUGUUUCAUCACCUAUAAGAAUAUUACAAAUCUUUGUUCCAAAUGGAAAUGUGAAUAAACUACUAAAUCAA